UCCUAAACAUUUUAUAAAUUUUAUUAAUAUCUCAGCCUGCAAAAAUUUUAUCCAAAUUUUUUUUCAUAUCGAUCUAGGGAUUAUUGGUAUAGAUUUAAGGCAAAAAACGAAGCCUAUUACCAUUUCCUUCAUCUGCAGACACAAUAUAGAUAUCUAUCCAACGAGGUCUCUUCAUGGAGUAUUAAUCGUGAGCUUUAGAGAUUACAGAAUGAAAUAUCUUGGGCCAGGGUCAGUUGGGAAUCCAUUCAGGUACCAGCAUUCGAAGAACAAUUCAUGAAUAAAGUUAGGAAUACAGAAGCUAUGAAGAAUGAGGAAUAGGUGUUCAUUGAAGACUCGGUAGCUGAAUUCAGUCAAGAUCUUACUCCAAAUUCUCUUCCUGCUGCUAUUUCCGAUUCAGCUUUAGAUUUCGAUUCAAUUUCUGGAUCUAAAACUGAUUCAGCUAAGGGUUUACAUGGGUUUUUAAAAUCGAGUUCAAACAUUGAAUACUCCGCUAUUUCAAUUGGUGAUUUCACUGUCUCUCCAUCUGAGGAAAUCAAAUCAAUUUCUACUGGUGUUGUUGAAGAAGGUGAUUAUCUCGAUUUGGAGUCGAUUCCUUCACGUUUCUUCGUUGAAAACGAAGCUGCUGUUUCAACUGAGGCUGUGAGUUUUCAGUUUAAAGAAAUUGAUAAAUCUGUAGUGAAUAACUUUGAAAGGAAGGAUCAGAUCAAAUGGGGUAAGUGUUUUUCCAUUACUCUCGAUUCUUCUCGUAUCAUUUUUUUAUCCAUGAAAAGAUUUCAAACUCAUUAAGAGGUUUUCUUAUUUGGCUGGUGUUUAUGAGUUUGGUUUCGAUUCAAUUACUUCAUGUUCUUUUGCACUAUAUGUUGGCUCAAUUUUAAUGGAUGAAUUUGAUAGCAAUCCUGUGUAUAAGCUGAGUUCCAAGAAUAUGUACUGGGCAGAUUCAUGGUCUGGUGAUUCAAUUACUUGUAGACUAACUAAUGGGGGUGUUCUUAGUACUGCUGAAAUGUUGUUUGUUCAAAAUGUCAAAGAGAGACACAAUUUGGUUGGAUAGAAUGCUUGAGACCGCAUUGCGGAGCUGGAAUGAUGGUGUUUUUUGUUCCUAUCCUUCUUUUGUUUACACUGGUUCCGUAUUUGAUCAUGUCAGAGGGUAUUUUAAUUUUGCUGAUGCUUAUAGAAUUGGUUUUGAUACUCAUAGUUCUGGCUUGAUUGUUCUUAUUGGGUUGAUUUUCAUGGCUGAGUGCAAUAGAAAUUGUGUUUACAAGGUGAUUACAAGACAUGGGUAUCGAUUGAAAUGGUUGUUUCAAAAUUCUAUUGUCCUAGAGUUUGCUACAACUGGUGACAGUGGUGAUAGUGGUCAGUUGUUUUCGAAAAUGGCCACGAGGAAAUAGUAUAACACUGAAUAGUCAUUUGUCUGUGUGCAAGCUAAUGUGUGAGAUUAAGAAUUUUUAUCAAUUGUUUCAUCAAAUGCUUGAUAGGUGGGAAACGAAAAUAUUUCUUUUCCAGCUGAUGUAUGUUUUGCCUGAUAUGAUUUUGGGUGGCUGUUGGUUUUAUUUGACUUCUUGUAGAGGUUUCUAGGCCAGCAACCGCAUGGUCUCACCAAGUGAUUACACUUGUCAAUUCAUAUGUUACCUUGGUUAGACUCCAUGACUAAUCAAUAAGGAUUAUUCUCGUAAUUGUUAGGAGCUAUUUUCGACUUCUAAGGAUGGGCUUCCUCUUAUCGAGUACAAGGCUUACAUCUGCAGCUAUUAAAGAAGAAGAAAUGAAGAAAUCUCUCCAAUUUUCCACAGCUGGUCUUCGUUUCUUAUACUUUGUUCAACACAAACCUUCUGGCUGUCAACAUGGGUUGUGCGUGGGGUAUCUAAAAAUAAAAGUCUAUGGGAGUAUGAAGAUGAUAAAACUUGUACUCACUGUCACACAUGCUCCAAUUGUUUCAAGGUUAGUGAACUUCUUCAGCUGGAAGUGCAAAUUGUAUUCUACAAGUCUGGAGAGUGUUGCAUAUGUGAAUUAGAGCAGUUCAGUCAUCAUGUGUAUGACUAAAACUCGACCCAUACUUAGGGUAAUUCAAUUCCUACAGGUGCAGCUGUUGGUGGGAUAUUGGAGGUGGACAUUCAGAUUGGUUGCAACUGGAUUGUGGAGUAUAAGAUUUUCCUGUAUGGGUUUGUUUUUCUUCCCUUCACAUCUUCAUGGUGUCGUAUUAUCAACAGAUUAUUCAAACCGUUCCCAAUUGCUUAAAGUUGACAAUUCGGCAGCCAAAUUUGUUGGAAUUCAUGAUUAUACCUCUAUGUUGAUGCUUCCACUUUCAAAAGCAGUUGCUUCACGCCUCCAGUUCACCUGCUGCCUUUAUGGAUAUCCAUGAAUUCUCUCUUUUGCCACGAAUGGACUGUUUCCAAUUAGAAAUUUCUGGGUUCGUGCUGAGAAGAAUGAAGAAUUUUCCUAUGGUAGAUAUCAACAUAUCCUUCGCUAUCCAUUUUGCACUAAAUGGCAGUGUUGCAUUCAGGUCUGUGCUUGUUUUACUGAUUUUAUCAACUCUGGUAGUACAAGCAUCUGGGAAUGUUUUGUUGGUAUUUUGUCAUGCUAGACUGUUAUGUUUGGUCUAUUCACCAACAAGUAGCUAUCUUAAGCUUGAGUUCUGUGUGAGUAAGCAGUCAGUCCAACUCUUACACACUUGGAUGCACACUCUAGCUGUGUCCAAGUCAGUGGCUUGUGCAAGUACAGUUCUAUUAUUCGCAAGGGAAUGGACAUCUGCGGUGUUGGCUAGUUUUAAAUUUAAAAUUCUGGAGCAGUUGGUUGAUCACAAGAGAAAUGGCUACUACAAGCUCAAGCAACUUGCACCAAACUGUGAUAGACAGCUCAGUGGUAUACUUGUGUGCAUUCAUGGUCAGGCCUGUACAUAUAUGAUACCGAGUAUGGUUGUGUCUCAACAGAAAACGGAAGAUGAAGUUGAUCACUUGUACAUGGGGACUGUUCACUGCAACCAACUGAAGAUUCUAGGUGCUAGAAAAGAUGUUGCUGCUAAGAAGCAAGACAAAGGCGACUGAUAUGUUCGACAGGUCUACCAAUACAAUGGCUACUAUCCGUCAUAUGCUCUUACAAGAUUCUGUGACUCAUUACAAGGAUGAAUUUAGCAAGCAUGGUACCUUGAUUGUGGAGCUUAGUGUUGUCCUGCAACCACUCUAGCUGUUCUGUUUUCACCUUCAUCCUUGAGGACAAGGAUGGUUUCAAGGGGAAUGGAAUGUCAUGUGUACAGGGGUGCCCGUAUCGUAUGUAUGUGGGUAUUUAGUAGCAUCUAGUAGGGUGUAAUGGGUGGUUUAGAUUAACUCACGUGGAUAGUUUAUAAUCGUCAGAUAUUGAGAGAGGGAGAGAGUGUGUGUGUCUGAGUUAUAUACUCUCGUAUCCUUUAAUGAAACUCUUAUGAGAAGAUUUAUGAAUAGAAUAGCUUAGUUUAGCAUUUAGGCUUGGUUCACUAUGAAUCAAGAGUUCACUUACUCAAAUUAUCAUCCAAACCCUGUUGUUGUACACCCAGGUACACAACACAUUACUCAUUUAUGUAUGGUUUAUUUAGUAUUUUUUUCC